rfam:Gemella haemolysans ATCC 10379 ctg1119035638547, whole genome shotgun sequence.
AAAUGCUAGGUGGGGAGUUAGCGGUGCCCUGUACUUGCAAUCCGCUUUAGCAAGACCGAAUACCGAGAUGCGGGUAGAAUAGGGAAUGUCGAGUUUAACACGUAAUGUUGAGACUAAGGCACCUUACGACGCAAUACUUAUGAACCAUGUCAGGUCCGGAAGGAAGCAGCAUUAAGUAAGUCUAUUGUGGGUGUGAGUUUUUGUCGAGGUUGAGUUGUCGAUUAGACUAACGGUUUUUUAAUCUAUUCAAGUCUCGGUUGCAUAU